UUCUCGGGCUCACGAGUUCCACGAACCCUACCUCUUGCUUCCCUGCGAGUGCCGCCGCUUCGGCCACACGAGUCACGAGUUCCACUCCCUGCCUCGCUGCUGCUUCCCCGCGGUGCUGCCACCCUCAUUGCUGCCACCGAUCGCGUGCAGGUGCCGCCGCCGGCGAGGUGGUCCAGAUCGUGGUCCUUCUCGGCAGGAGGAGCUGACGAUCGAGAGGGCGGCUACCCAGGAGGAGGAGAGGCUGCGGUACCUCGAGUUCGUGCAGCAGGCGGCGGCGCAGGUGCUGGCCGCUCUGCCCCGGCGUCGACCACAUCGAGGGCACCGUCAAGGCUGUCGUGGGGCCAGUCUACGAUCGCUUCCAUGCCGUCCCGCUCGACCUCCUCAAGUUCCUUGACCGCACGAUGGGUGACAGGUUGAUUCCUGGUCUUAUGCUUGGAAAGUGCAGUGAGGGCUUAGUGUGACAGAUUCUAGGACUUCUAUGAUCCACAUGAUGAAUCAAAAUUACUGCAUAUAGUGACCUGGUGUUGAUUGAUGAAGAGGUCAAGAGCUUCGUGAAGAUCAGCCAAUUAAUACUUCCACCUUGGUCAUUCCAUCAGAUACAAGUAUAUCAUUUGGAGGUCAAGAUACUGCACUCUUGUGAAGUUCUAGUGCUCAUGUUUCAGUUUGUUCAGCUUGAAGUCUGCAGUUGGUGAAGUUCUCUUGUUCUAGUUGUUGGAUGCUUCAUCAUCAUACAAGCUCUUCCAAUCACUUGCCUGAGUCUUUUGGUGGUCUGAUUGGUUGUGUCGGGUUCCAAGAUAUUGUAAUAAUUCUUGCUGUCGCUGGAUUCAGAUUCUCUUUAACUCAUGACCUAGUGUCACCCUGCUGUAACGUAGCUAAUGGCACAUGUUGACAUGUAAGCAUCUGUAUGGGUGGUGUUUGAUUGGUUGAAAACAGAGUUGCCACCCGACCAGCAGUGGCAGCCGCCCGGCAGCCGAACGGUGACAGCCGCAGCAGCAGCCGCCCGGCAGCUGAACGGUGGCAAAAGUGAAUCUGUUAUCUAGGAAUGGUUAUUUAAUGGGUGGAACCCAUGGAUAAAGCUUUGGUUUGGUUAGACCUGGGGUGAAAUGAAGUCAAGGUUUGGUGU